UAGUAGUACUAUAUGAUCAUUUACAUGAUUAAACUGUAGGUAUAUAUUCAAGCAGUUAUUUACAAGUCAAAUAUCAGUUCUAGAUUUCAUGUUUAUUCAACGGAGUCUUUUCUUUCUCCAUGUUGCAAAGGAGGGGCUUAUGUUGUCUGCUUCUUUAUUUUUGUAUACACUGUCUUCCUUAACAUUCCAAAUUAAAUAAUUUUAGACGCGACGAAAUGCAAGAGAUGCUCUUCAACUUGCUACUACAUCCCAGGAUAUUUCGAAUACAAAAACAUAGCAUGGGAUAUUGGAGACUGGUGGAAUACAAAGAAGAAAUUAUUUUCAUGACCUAACUGGUGAUUGUUUCUUUCCCGUGCCGUUGUGUAUGAGAAGAGACUUGAGAAGAAAACAACGAUGUUGUCAUGGUAUAUUGAUAUACAUCCUGCUCUAGCCACACAUGUUUGCUUCUUAAGGCUCCACGGUCCACAUAUGUCCAUUUAUGAAUUAUAGCAACAUAACAUUCUUUGGAAUAUAGAAAUAGAGCAUGGGAUAUUGGAGACUUCUAGCAGGCAAACGGUGGAUACAGCUGAGCGGCAAGGUACCAGACAAGCCGCUGGACAUGGUGGCCCUGUCGUGGCUGAUGAAGAUUACAUUGAGAAUCAGCACUGGUUUCAGUUAUAUUUCAUCUUCGAUCUAAUUCAAUAGUCGGUAGUCUAUUCAUGUAAUGGCAAAUACCAUUCAGAUCAAGUAAAAAUAGUUAUGUUUCCAAGUCUUGCAUUUAUGGUAAAAGGGUGGCUUCAUCCCCCCACCCCCACACACGCAGAACACACUUUAUUUCUCUGUUUGAGAAGUGAUUAUUUCCAAAAAGGAAGACCUGAAUGAUUGCAAUA